CCUUCAAAUCUUCAAAAACGUCCAUCCUCAUGUCUCCAUGCUUGCACUAUCCAAUCUUGGCUAAAAAAUGCUCUAAAAUGCUCCAAAAUGCACUUUCUUGCCAACCUUGUUAUUAUGACCUACAAACACACGAAAAUAGCUUAAAAUACAUAAUUAACUAAGAAAUAACAACACAAAUGCACAAGAACAAGCUAACUAAGUCGCAUAAAUAUGCUCCUAUCAGCUUCACACAUGCUUGAUCAAGACAGUGUGAAGCAAAACCAAUUUAGGGUGCCAACAAGAGCUUCAUCAAUGGAGGGCAACGAUAAUUCUCAAAAGCUUCACACACUCUUGAUCAAGACAGUGUGAAGCAAAACCAAUUUAUGGUGCCCACAAAAGCUUCAUCAAAGGAGUUCAACCACAAUUCUCAAAAGCUUCACACACUCUUGAUCAAGACAGUGUGAAGCAAAACCAAUUUAUGGUGCCAACAAGAGCUUCAUCAAUGGAGGGCAACCACAAUUCUUAAAAGCUUCACACACUCUUGAUCAAGACAAUGUGAAGCAAAACCAAUUUAUGGUGCCAACAAAAGCUUCAUCAAAGGAGUUCAACCACAAUUCUCAAAAGCUUCACACACUCUUGAUCAAGACGGUGUGAAGCAAAACCAAUUUAUGGUACCAACAAGAGCUUCACCAAUGGAGGGCAACCACAAUUCUCAAAAGCUUCACACACUCUUGAUCAAGACAGUGUGAAGCAAAACCAAUUUAUGGUGCCAACAAAAGCUUCAUCAUUGGAAGGCAACUACAAUUCUCAAACAUUCAAGGCAAAUUCAAGACUAUUCGAAGCAAAUUCAAUUUAUAUGGUUCAUCUAAACUUUCGACCACUACAAGGUGUGGCUUGCAUCACAAUCUCUUGCUCAACAGUGUGGAAGCAAAAUUUGUAUAUGUUGUCUCUCCCACAUUUUCAAAUUUCUAGUUUCCCAAAAAAAAAGAAAAAAAAAAGGGGAAAUUCAACAAAGCUUCAUCAAUGGAGGAUAACUACAAAUUAUCAAAAGCUUCACACUAUCUUAAUCAAGAUAGUG
rnacentral:lncRNA from 1 species